ensembl:lncRNA
CUGAAAUAUUUGUUUUUCAACAUGUUGUGCCAAUAUGGAUGGCAAUAUUCUCAAAGCUCUGCGUUAUUGUUUUUUGCACAAAUUUAAUAUGAACCUAUCAUUUUGCUGAAGGUAUUUGUAUUCUUAAGAAGUUCCUCUUGAAAGGAUAUAAUCCACACAUUGGUGCUACAAAAUGAAUGCUGUGCUUUUGCUUUCAGCUAGGGCAAACUCUACACCUCAAUACAGCCCUUAAUUAUGUUUUUAAGCCGAGAACGAGUGCAUUCAUUUAGUGACCAUGUCUUCUGCUGUUCACUGCUGUUGUUGAUGUUACUUGUUUGCAGUAGUGAAUUUAAUGAGGUCUUGUUUGGAUUCAUUGUUUGAUAUAUUUUUUCGGAAUGUAAGACCGGAGGGUGUGUCGAAGUGGAAGUGGGACAAAUUCAGUCUUGUGUGUGUUCGUUCCAGAGGAAGCAGCUUUGGCUACCUACUUGGAUUUAUGAUUCAUUCCACCAGCACUACACUUUUACCAGGUGACUUCUAAUUAAGUGUUCAUACAAAUGGAGAAGUCACUGAUUUAACAUGUUUGGAUUUGGUGAAAGCCAAGGUGAUUCACAAAGGGUUUAUAGUUAGGCAAGCAUGACCCACAACAGGACCUUUGAAUUGAACAAUUGAAGAACAAAGAACAGCUGCAUAGAACAUAUUUUUCCUUAAAAAUAUGAUUACACAUGUUUAUUUGUAGGCUAUUUUAGCAACCUAUGUUGGCCCUUGUGAGAUGUUUUAUACCAGAAUAUUGGUAGGUACAGUAACAAUGUACUGCUGGUUGUAUACUAGAUUGAAAUAAGUAGGUACAGUGCACUUACUGCCAAUCAUUGGAAUGUUACUGACAGCCUGGCACUCACGUUCACUGCCUGGCGCGCUGCCCAUUUCACAUCAAAACCAAAAUCUUUGAUAACUAAACUUUCAGACACCGAUGGACCAAUGAGUGAAAACAAUAAACUACAAUAAACUCAGUCACUCACUAGUUCAGAGAAUUAUAGUGCCAUGGUGUUAAAAAAAACAAAAAACAAUAUGCAAUGAUCAUUGCUACAUGAAGAUUAAGCAUUUCCAGUAAUUCAGCACUGACCUUUUUGUCACAUUUGGUGAGGGCAGUACUCACUAUUUGCCUACUAGUGAUUUGGUUAAAAUGCCUUAGUUUUACACAGAA